GACGACGUCGCUGCUUGAUUGGACUUGGACGAACCUCAAAACGUGCCAUUUUCAAGCUGCCUCAGCUUGAUGUUUAUUUGCUGGAGAUCGACUGGAAACUGGACAGAUGCCGCUUAUGCAAAACUCAAAACUGGAUGUAGCUUAGAAUGCGUCUCUUGGGUAUGAUGGAGUGUGAAAUACCCUAUGUGUGCUUGACGCCUGAUAACUCAUAGUCACCUUCAUCCUUUAACAAGCAAGUUACAGGGUAAACGAAAUUGAAAAGAAAAAACCUUAAAACAAAUGACCAAAAUUUCAAUUCUUAAGCCAAAGAGCCAAGCAAAACUCUCCCUGGAGGACCUCCCCUACUGGCAGCAGCAAUCGCAAUCUCUGGAGCCCAUUUUGGAGCGAUGUAUAUGCAAAAUAUAUUUCACAUUUAUAAGAAGUUGUUAUAAAAACAAAAAAGACAACAAACCACAUCGCCAAUGACGAAAGCCACAAGAGAAAAAACAAAUAAAAAAAUAAAAACAAAACAGGGAAAAAUAAAAUAAAAUCAUCAUCAUUUAUGCAGAUUUCAAGGCAGAGAUAUGGCAACGACAGACAUAUAGCGUAUAUAUAAGUCUAUAUAAACCAAAACCAAGAUAUGCAUAAAUUUACAUAUG